rnacentral:rRNA from 1 species
GACGAACGCUGGCGGCGUGCUUAACACAUGCAAGUCGAACGGAAAGGCCCUGCUUGCAGGGUGCUCGAGUGGCGAACGGGUGAGUAACACGUGGGUGAUCUGCCCCUUACUUUGGGAUAAGCCUGGGAAACUGGGUCUAAUACUGGAUAGGACCAUGCUGUAGGUGGUGUGGUGGAAAGAUUAGUUUCGGUAAGGGAUGAGCUCGCGGCCUAUCAGCUUGUUGGUGGGGUAAUGGCCUACCAAGGCGUCGACGGGUAGCCGGCCUGAGAGGGUGGACGGCCACAUUGGGACUGAGAUACGGCCCAGACUCCUACGGGAGGCAGCAGUGAGGAAUAUUGCACAAUGGGCGCAAGCCUGAUGCAGCGACGCCGCGUGGGGGAUGACGGCCUUCGGGUUGUAAACUCCUUUCAGCCAUGACGAAGCCCUUGUGGUGACGGUAGUGGUAGAAGAAGCACCGGCUAACUACGUG